ACGGUAGGAGCUCUUGCUUGUUGAAAUGCGCUCGUGCAACAUUGUUCUUGUCGGUAAAUUUGUUUUAUUACCACACCGUGAAAGAAUACAAUAUGAAUUCCAGCCAAAGCUCUGUACAAGAGGAAAAUGCAAGUAGCGCUAUGCAAGCACCUCGCCGCCGAAAAACUACCAGCAACGAACAUAGAGAGCGCGUGGUAUGGUGUAUGAAAACGGAGCCUUUGCAGCUACGAUUAGCAAAAUGUUCAAUUUAAAAAAACCGACUGUCCAUGGCAUCAUCAAAAAAUACCAAACCCAAUGGCAAAUCGAGGCAAAGAAGCGUGGUGGCAACAAAUCUAAAUUAUUGUCGCAGCAAGCCGUAAAUGAUGUUCGUAACUUGAUCGACGAGGACUGCACGGUGACGCCUAAAGCACUCGCAGAGAAAGUGUUCGAACAACACGGUGUUCGAGUUUCGUCCACAACCAUAGCGAGGGAAUUAUGGUUCCCUCCACAUGGCUGUUCUUCUGAUCUUUCACAUAGUUUUGUUAUUAUUUUUUUAACCAACACUGAAAAUCAAUAAAUUUAUGCUUUAUAAUAAUGAACAUUAA